UGCAGCCCCUCGCGUGGCGGCACAUCACCCAACUCCCCCAGGGCAGGAAUGCAGCAAGGGUCAGUGGUCCCUGCCGGGUACGCGAGGGGUCCUUGCG
rfam:Aeromicrobium choanae strain 9H-4 genome assembly, chromosome: I